rnacentral:rRNA from 1 species
UACGUAGGGUGCAAGCGUUAAUCGGAAUUACUGGGCGUAAAGCGCACGUAGGCGGCUUUCUAAGUCGGGGGUGAAAUCCUGGAGCUCAACUCCAGAACUGCCUUCGAUACUGGAGAGCUUGAGUCCGGGAGAGGUGAGUGGGAACUGCGAGUGUAGAGGUGAAAUUCGUAGAUAUUCGCAAGAACACCAGUGGCGAAGGCGGCUCACUGGCCCGGUACUGACGCUGAGGUGCGAAAAGCGUGGGGGAGCAA